rnacentral:rRNA from 1 species
CACGCAGGCGGUCUGGCGCGUGGGGUGUGAAAUCUGGCCGCUUAACGGCCAGGCGCCAUCCCAUACGGCCGGACUGGAGCCGUGCAGAGGGCGGUGGAAUUGCCGGUGUAGUGGUGAAAUGCGUAGAGAUCGGCAGGAACACCCAGGGGGAAACCAGCCGCCUGGGCACGCGCUGACGCUGAGGUGCGAGAGCGUGGGGAGCGAACC